rnacentral:rRNA from 1 species
UACAGAGGGUGCGAGCGUUAAUCGGAAUUACUGGGCGUAAAACGCGCGUAGGCGGCUUUGCAAGUCGGGUGUGAAAUCCCCAGGCUUAACCUGGGAACUGCAUUCGAGACUGCAUUGCUAGAGUAUGGGAGAGGGAAGUGGAAUUUCCGGUGUAGCGGUGAAAUGCGUAGAGAUCGGAAGGAACAUCAGUGGCGAAAGCGACUUCCUGGACCAAUACUGACGCUCAUGUGCGAAAGCGUGGGGAGCAAACAGG